AUUGAACGCUGGCGGCAUGCCUAACACAUGCAAGUCGAACGGGGUAGCAAUACCCAGUGGCGGACGGGUGAGGAAUACAUAGGAAUUUGCCUUUAGGUGGGGGAUAGCCCGGGGAAACUCGGAGUAAUACCGCAUGAUGUCGAAAGACCAAAGUAGGGGAUCGCAAGACCUUGCGCCUUUAGAGAAGCCUAUGUCUGAUUAGCUAGUUGGUAGGGUAAUGGCCUACCAAGGCGACGANCAGUAACUGGUCUGAGAGGACGAUCAGUCACACCGGAACUGAGACACGGUCCGGACUCCUACGGGAGGCAGCAGUGGGGAAUAUUGGACAAUGGGCGAAAGCCUGAUCCAGCAAUGCCGCGUGUGUGAAG
rnacentral:rRNA from 1 species